rnacentral:tRNA from 1 species
UGGGGUAUAGUAUAAGUAUUACGUUUCGCUUACACUGAAAAUAUAGCUCGCGGGGGCUUGCCCUGA